rnacentral:lncRNA from 1 species
GUGAUGUCCUGCCAGCCUGGGGAACCCUCGCAGGACCCUGCAAAGGGCCUGCUCACAGCCUUUUGUGGUGUUCAGAGCCAGAAGCAGACAACAGAGAGCAUAAGCUGUGGAAGACCAUGACCAGUGCCAAGGGCAGGAGGGAACUAGCCAAGAACUUCUCUGGAGGACAGUCCAGUUUAUUUGCCGAGGAUUCCUUUUGGAAAGGAAUGUGGACUCACAUUUUGCAUUAAGAAACUGGAAAAUCUUCUCGUAGGUCCUGGCAUAGUGCUGCCCAUGUCCUGGGUAGAUCUUGUACCAGCUGAAACUGCACAGCUCGACCUUCAUGGCGAUAGAUGUCGGCCUGCCGGGGGAAAGAUGGCGAAGAGCGGGCAUGGAUGCUAAUACCCUCAUCCUAACUGCCUAGAAGCCAGUCUUCUGUUAUUUGCCUUUGAAACAAGGGGUGGAACUCUCAUUUCCUCCAUUCCCACGUCUGCCUGGAUGCUGCAAUGUUCCUGCCUUGAUGAUAAUGGACUGAACCUCUGACCUGUAAGCCAGCCCCAAUAAAAUGUCAUCCUUAUAAGUGUU